ACACCACACAGCCCUCUUACAUAUUACACACAGCACAUUCAGUCACACCACUCAGCCCUCUUCUCACAUAUAACACACAGCACAUUCAGUCACACCACUCAGCCCUCUUCUCACAUUACACACAGCACAUUCAGUCACACCACACAGCCCUCUUCUCACAUAUUACACACAGCAUAUUCAGUCACACCACACAGCCCUCUUACAUAUUACACACAGCAUAUUCAGUCA